rnacentral:rRNA from 1 species
GCAAGUCGAACGCGAAAGCUCCUUCGGGAGUGAGUAGAGUGGCGAACGGGUGAGUAACACGUAGGAAUCUACCCAAGAGUGGGGGACAACCCGGAGAAAUCCGGGCUAAUACCGCAUACGCCCUACGGGGUAAAGUGGGGGACCUUUCGGGGCCUCACGCUUUUGGAUGAGCCUGCGUCGGAUUAGCUUGUUGGUAAGGUAAAGGCUUACCAAGGCGACGAUCCGUAGCUGGUCUGAGAGGAUGACC